GAUGAACGCUGGCGGCGUGCCUAACACAUGCAAGUCGAGCGAUUUACUUCGGUAAAGAGCGGCGGACGGGUGAGUAACGCGUGGGUAACCUGCCUCAUACACAUGGAUAACAUACCGAAAGGUAUGCUAAUACAAGAUGAUAUAAGAGAUUCGCAUGGAUUUCUUAUCAAAGCUCCGGCGGUACGAGAUGGACCCGCGUCUGAUUAGCUAGGUGGUAAGGUAACGGCUUACCAAGGCGACGAUCGGUAGCCGACCUGAGAGGGUGAUCGGCCAAAAUUGAACUGAAACACGGGCCAAACUCCUACGGGAGGCAGCCGUGGGGAAUAUUGCACAAUGGGCCAAAGGCUGAUUCAGCAACGCCGCGUGAGCGAUGAAGGCCUUCGGGUCGUAAAGCUCUGUCCUCAAAGAAAAUAAUGACGGUACUUGAGGAGGAAGCCCCGGCUAACUACGUGCCAGCAGCCGCGGUAAUAC
rnacentral:rRNA from 1 species